rnacentral:piRNA from 1 species
UCACUAUUUAUUUUUCAGAAA